AUACAGAGGGUGCGAGCGUUAAUCGGAAUUACUGGGCGUAAAGCGCGCGUAGGCGGCUUGGUCAGUCGGAUGUGAAAGCCCCGGGCUCAACCUGGGAAUGGCAUUCGAUACUGCCAGGCUAGAGUAUGGGAGAGGGAAGUGGAAUUUCCGGUGUAGCGGUGAAAUGCGUAGAUAUCGGAAGGAACACCAGUGGCGAAGGCGACUUCCUGGCCAAAUACUGACGCUGAGGUGCGAAAGCGUGGGGAGCGAACAGGAUUAGAAACCCUUGUAGUCC
rnacentral:rRNA from 1 species